AGAGUUUGAUCCUGGCUCAGAUUGAACGCUGGCGGCAUGCCUUACACAUGCAAGUCGAACGCGAAAGUAGGGGCAACCCUGCGAGUAGAGUGGCGAACGGGUGAGUAACACAUCGGAACGUACCCAGGAGUGGGGGACAACCUCGAGAAAUCGAGGCUAAUACCGCAUACGUCCUGAGGGAGAAAGCGGGGGAUUCGCAAGGACCUCGCGCUCAUGGAGCGGCCGAUGUCGGAUUAGCUAGUUGGCGGGGUAAAGGCCCACCAAGGCUACGAUCCGUAGCUGGUUUGAGAGAACGACCAGCCCCACUGGGACUGAGACACGGCCCAGACUCCUACGGGAGGCAGCAGUGGGGAAUUUUGGACAAUGGGCGCAAGCCUGAUCCAGCCAUGCCGCGUGAGUGAAGAAGGCCUUCGGGUUGUAAAGCUCUUUCGGCCGGAACGAAAUCGCGUACGUGAAUAACGUGCGUGGAUGACGGUACUGGAAGAAGAAGCACCGGCUAACUACGUGCCAGCCGCCGCGGUAAUACA
rnacentral:rRNA from 1 species